rnacentral:lncRNA from 1 species
AAUGCCUGUCAUAGACAUUGUAUAAUAUUAAUAAUUUUUUCAGUAAGAGUAAAGAAUGUAGCUGGGUCAGAACAAGGCCAUUUUGUCAGAAGUUCCUACUCCUUGGGGUUUCCCUAUGACACAGGGGAAAAAAAUUGCCCUAUAUAUCAAAUUUUUGUUUUUACUCAGAAUUCUUCAAUAGCUCAUAAAAAAGACAUCACUAUAAUCUAAGCAGAAUCUACAUUUCUUUUCUGACGAUUUGAGACCCAAAUAAUUCCGCAAAUAUAAGGUAAAAGUCCAAAUCCCUUUUCCUGUCAUUUAAAAAAAUCAAAUAUCUUUACAAUGUCACCAUCAGGAUAAAUUAUAAAUAGGGAGUGAAGGCAGAUGUGAAAGUUAACUGGAUCAAGAAUGUUAAAUAAAAUAUGUUUUUGUAAAUUUGGACGACAUUUUACUUGCAAUUAUGUACCAUUUACUAGGCUGGAUGUAGUACAGACUUGCUUACCGUACCAUUUCAAUACUGAAGAAGUACGUUUGUCUGAGCGAAGCCAAUUGGAAGUACG